CGUCUGGAAAGGCGCGCGAUACAGGGUGACAGCCCCGUACACAAAAAUGCACAUGCUGUGAGCUCGAUGAGUAGGGCGGGACACGUGGUAUCCUGUCUGAAUAUGGGGGGACCAUCCUCCAAGGCUAAAUACUCCUGACUGACCGAUAGUGAACCAGUACCGUGAGGGAAAGGCGAAAAGAACCCCGGCGAGGGGAGUGAAAAAGAACCUGAAACCGUGUACGUACAAGCAGUGGGAGCACGCUUAGGCGUGUGACUGCGUACCUUUUGUAUAAUGGGUCAGCGACUUAUAUUCUGUAGCAAGGUUAACCGAAUAGGGGAGCCGAAGGGAAACCGAGUCUUAACUGGGCGUUAAGUUGCAGGGUAUAGACCCGAAACCCGGUGAUCUAGCCAUGGGCAGGUUGAAGGUUGGGUAACACUAACUGGAGGACCGAACCGACUAAUGUUGAAAAAUUAGCGGAUGACUUGUGGCUGGGGGUGAAAGGCCAAUCAAACCGGGAGAUAGCUGGUUCUCCCCGAAAGCUAUUUAGGUAGCGCCUCGUGAAUUCAUCUCCGGGGGUAGAGCACUGUUUCGGCAAGGGGGUCAUCCCGACUUACCAACCCGAUGCAAACUGCGAAUACCGGAGAAUGUUAUCACGGGAGACACACGGCGGGUGCUAACGUCCGUCGUGAAGAGGGAAACAACCCAGACCGCCAGCUAAGGUCCCAAAGUCAUGGUUAAGUGGGAAACGAUGUGGGAAGGCCCAGACAGCCAGGAUGUUGGCUUAGAAGCAGCCAUCAUUUAAAGAAAGCGUAAUAGCUCACUGGUCGAGUCGGCCUGCGCGGAAGAUGUAACGGGGCUAAACCAUGCACCGAAGCUGCGGCA
rnacentral:rRNA from 1 species